CUGGCUCAGGAUGAACGCUAGCGAUAGGCCUAACACAUGCAAGUCGAGGGGCAGCACAUGAGUAGCAAUACGAUGGUGGCGACCGGCGCACGGGUGAGUAACACGUAUGCAACCUACCUUUAACAGGGGAAUAACCCGUUGAAAAACGGACUAAUACUCCAUGACACAGGGGUCCCGCAUGGGAAUAUUUGUUAAAGAUUUAUCGGUUGAAGAUGGGCAUGCGUUCCAUUAGCUUGUUGGUGAGGUAACGGCUCACCAAGGCUACGAUGGAUAGGGGAACUGAGAGGUUUAUCCCCCACACUGGAACUGAGACACGGUCCAGACUCCUACGGGAGGCAGCAGUGAGGAAUAUUGGUCAAUGGAGGCAACUCUGAACCAGCCAAGUCGCGUGAAAGGAUAAAGGUCUUAUGGAUUGUAAACUUCUUUUGCAAGGGAAUAAAGUGGGGGACGUGUCCUCCUUUGCAUGUACCUUGCGAAUAAGGAUCGGCUAACUCCGUGCCAGCAGCAGC
rnacentral:rRNA from 1 species